rnacentral:rRNA from 1 species
AGAGUUUGAUCCUGGUUCUAGAUGAACGCUGGCGGCAGGCCUAACACAUGCAAGUCGAGGGGUAACAUAGAAGAGCUUGCUUUUCUGAUGACGACCGGCGCACGGGUGCGUAACGCGUAUGCAACCUACCUCUUACUGGGGAAUAGCCCGAAGAAAUUCGGAUUAAUGCCCCAUAGUAUUUGUUAUUCGCAUGAAUUGACAAAUUAAAGAUUACGGUAAGAGAUGGGCAUGCGUCCCAUUAGCUAGAUGGUAAGGUAACGGCUUACCAUGGCAACGAUGGGUAGGGGGCCUGAGAGGGUGAUCCCCCACACUGGUACUGAGACACGGACCAGACUCCUACGGGAGGCAGCAGUGAGGAAUAUUGGUCAAUGGAGGCAACUCUGAACCAGCCAUGCCGCGUGCAGGAAGAAUGCCCUACGGGUUGUAAACUGCUUUUAUUUGGGAAUAAACCUCUUUACGUGUAGAGAGCUGAAGGUACCAAACGAAUAAGCACCGGCUAACUCCGUGCCAGCAGCCGCGGUAAUACGGAGGGUGCAAGCGUUAUCCGGAAUCAUUGGGUUUAAAGGGUCCGCAGGCGGACUGAUAAGUCAGUGGUGAAAUCCCGUAGCUCAA